GUCUACACCCAGACCACCCUGAUCACGCCCCAUCUCAUCUGGUCUCAGAAGUUAAAUAGGGCUGGGCCUGGUUAGUACUGGGAUGGGAGAAAGAGUCUGGUUGGAAUGAGAA
rfam:Otolemur garnettii contig024644, whole genome shotgun sequence.